rnacentral:misc_RNA from 1 species
CGCACAUUGCGCCUUUUGGUAUUCCAGAAGGCAUGCCUGUUUGAGCGUCAUUUCUUUCUCACUGGGCCUCGGUUUAGUGGUAUUGAGUGGUACUCUAGUACAGGGUUAGCUUGAAAUAUCAGUAGUGCGAGUGGUCGAAGCGACUUUCUCUCUGGAUAAUGUAUUAGGUUCUGCCAACUCGUUAGACAGGGUGUUAAAGCAGCCUCAGCCAAUCCCUCCACUCCUCCUAUCUCAAAGUUUGACCUCAAAUCAGGUAGGACUACCCGCUGAACUUAA